rnacentral:rRNA from 1 species
AGUGAACGCUGGCGGUAGGCCUAACACAUGCAAGUCGAACGGCAGCACAGUAAGAGCUUGCUCUUACGGGUGGCGAGUGGCGGACGGGUGAGGAAUACAUCGGAAUCUACUUUUUCGUGGGGGAUAACGUAGGGAAACUUACGCUAAUACCGCAUACGACCUACGGGUGAAAGCAGGGGAUCUUCGGACCUUGCGCGAUUGAAUGAGCCGAUGUCGGAUUAGCUAGUUGGCGGGGUAAAGGCCCACCAAGGCGACGAUCCGUAGCUGGUCUGAGAGGAUGAUCGGCCACACUGGAACUGAGACACGGUCCAGACUCCUACGGGAGGCAGCAGUGGGGAAUAUUGGACAAUGGGCGCAAGCCUGAUCCAGCCAUACCGCGUGGGUGAAGAAGGCCUUCGGGUUGUAAAGCCCUUUUGUUGGGAAAGAAAAGCAGCAGGUUAAUACGCCGCUGUUCUGACGGUACCCAAAGAAUAAGCACCGGCUAACUUCGUG